GACGUAGGGCGCGAGCGUUGUCCGGAUUUAUUGGGCGUAAAGAGCUCGUAGGCGGCUUGUCGCGUCGUCUGUGAAAUCCCACGGCUCAACUGUGGGCUUGCAGUCGAUACGGGCAGGCUGGAGUUCGGUAGGGGAGACUGGAAUUCCUGGUGUAGCGGUGAAAUGCGUAGAUAUCAGGAGGAACACCGGUGGCGAAGGCGGGUCUCUGGGCCGAUACUGACGCUGAGGAGCGAAAGCGUGGGGAGCGAACAGG
rnacentral:rRNA from 1 species